rnacentral:rRNA from 1 species
GUAGUUAGCCGUGGCUUAUUCGAGGGGUACCGUCUUCUACUCUUCCCCCUUAAAAGAAGUUUACAACCCGAAAGCCUUCUUCCCUCACGCGGCGUUGCUGGGUCAGGCUUGCGCCCAUUGCCCAAUAUUCCCCACUGCUGCCUCCCGUAGGAGUCUGGACCGUGUCUCAGUUCCAGUGUGGCCGAUCAGCCUCUCAGCUCGGCUACCCAUCGCUGACUUGGUGGGCCGUUACCCCGCCAACUAUCUAAUGGGACGCGAACCCCUCCAAUUGCGGAUUGCUCCUUUGACCUCAUCCCGAUGCCGGGUCGUGGUCUUAUGCGGUAUUAGCACUUGUUUCCAGGUGUUAUCCCCCUCAACUGGUCAGGUUGUUCACGCGUUACUCACCCGUUCGCCACUAAGCUAUAUCCGAAAACAUAGCUCCGUUCGACUUGCAUGUGUUAGGCACGCCGCCAGCGUUCGUCCUGAGCCAUAAUCAAACUCUGA